CGGUAAUACGGAGGGUGCGAGCGUUAAUCGGAAUUACUGGGCGUAAAGCGCAUGCAGGUGGUUUGUUAAGUUCAGAUGUGAAAGACCCGGGGCGUCAACCUCGGAAUUGCAUUUGAAACUAGGCAGACUAGAGUACUGUAGAGGGGGGUAGGAAUUUCAGGUGUAGCGGUGAAAUAGCGUAGAGAUCUGAAGGAAUACCGGUGGCGAAGGCGGCCCCCUCGGACAGAUACUGACACUCAGAUGCGAAAGCGUGGGGAGCAAACAGGAUUAGAUACCCUGGUAG
rnacentral:rRNA from 1 species